rnacentral:ncRNA from 1 species
UAAAAAACGUUGAGCAGAAGAGUAGUUUAACAUUUUCUUCAGAGAGUUUGCGGGUAAUGUGAGCAAACGAUUAUGUUAAAUGAAACACAUUUGCGAGUGUGUGAUUGAAUGAAGUAGAUCAUGUCGGAAUUGCCCGUUACCGCAUACAGUCUUUUGACUUAGUAAGGCAUAAUCAGUGAUGAUUGUGUGAUAAGAGGUGGCACCGCGUAAAAACGCCCUCUGA